AGCUAUCAGUCACUAACCAUCCAACUCUCUCUAUCAAACUCAGUUGCCAGUUAAUUGGGUACACCUUGCUAAAAUGUAAUUGUAAAGUCAACUUUGUUGUCAUGGAGGCUGUAGUUUGUGGUGCCGUUUAAAAUGUUUUGCUUUAUACUGAUAGGUGUAUGAGUUUCUCCCCCUCAACAUCAAUGAAGGUGUUCAUUAACCAGGGCUAUCUGACCUGUGUUCAACCCCUUAUUUUGUCAAAAGAAGCCAGUCAACACGGUGCGGUGCAUACCAAUUACCUCAUGUGCUGGCAAUGGGCGGGGUUUACACAACAUACAAUUUUAAUCAACAGCUAACAUCACAUACUCCGGUUUAGCCCUUUGUGUGAAAGGGGUAAUAGAAACAACUCGGUGUAACACUACAAGUAUCACAAAAAAAGUUCAAUCAAUAUUCAAAAGUGAAAAGUAGGGAUGUCCCGAGCAAUUAUUUUGAAUAUUGAAUAUCUGCUAAUACUGAGUUCCGAUCCGAUACUCACAUUUGCUCAGAUAAUAAAGCUGCACACAAAAGUAACUAAAAUAUGCCUUAAGCUUAAUUUAGUGCAACAAAUGAGUCUUUUCUCUCAACACCAAAACAGUUCUCUUUAGGAUCCCAGCAAACCCCCAACCAAAGAAUAAACUGUUUCAAGUUCCCGCUGGACAAC